GUGUGGACAAGUUCAUUUAUAUACAAAUUAUCUAUUUGAUAUUAUUCCCAACUUUGUACUUCGUUUAUAUCUAUUUACUCUAUAUUAUAAUGAUCUUACUAUAUUGAACAUAUAUUUGUAUUAUAUGGUUCAAUGAAUCCAAAUACUCUAUCUAUGAUCUUUGAUAUUUACUCACCACUGGCUAUUGGACAAAUUACUUUUCUUAAUAGUUGUUUUAUCUGGUUCUGGCCAGUUUGACAGUUCACCUUUUGACUAUAUAUACUGUAAUUUUUAACUAUAUUGUCAAUGCAGAAUAAGUAACACCAGAAACAACACUAUGAGCCGUAGCCAGCAUUAUAAGAUCUGUCGUUGCCUUCUUUAUAGUAUAUAAUAAAGUAUUUGAACGUUC